rnacentral:rRNA from 1 species
UUAAGCGACUAAGCGUACACGGUGGAUGCCCUGGCAGUCAGAGGCGAUGAAGGACGUGCUAAUCUGCGAUAAGCGUCGGUAAGGUGAUAUGAACCGUUAUAACCGGCGAUUUCCGAAUGGGGAAACCCAGUGUGUUUCGACACACUAUCAUUAACUGAAUCCAUAGGUUAAUGAGGCGAACCGGGGGAACUGAAACAUCUAAGUACCCCGAGGAAAAGAAAUCAACCGAGAUUCCCCCAGUAGCGGCGAGCGAACGGGGAGCAGCCCAGAGCCUGAAUCAGUGUGUGUGUUAGUGGAAGCGUCUGGAAAGGCGCGCGAUACAGGGUGACAGCCCCGUACACAAAAAUGCACAUAUUGUGAGCUCGAUGAGUAGGGCGGGACACGUGGUAUCCUGUCUGAAUAUGGGGGGACCAUCCUCCAAGGCUAAAUACUCCUGACUGACCGAUAGUGAACCAGUACCGUGAGGGAAAGGCGAAAAGAACCCCGGCGAGGGGAGUGAAAAAGAACCUGAAACCGUGUACGUACAAGCAGUGGGAGCACGCUUAGGCGUGUGACUGCGUACCUUUUGUAUAAUGGGUCAGCGACUUAUAUUCUGUAGCAAGGUUAACCGAAUAGGGGAGCCGAAGGGAAACCGAGUCUUAACUGGGCGUUAAGUUGCAGGGUAUAGACCCGAAACCCGGUGAUCUAGCCAUGGGCAGGUUGAAGGUUGGGUAACACUAACUGGAGGACCGAACCGACUAAUGUUGAAAAAUUAGCGGAUGACUUGUGGCUGGGGGUGAAAGGCCAAUCAAACCGGGAGAUAGCUGGUUCUCCCCGAAAGCUAUUUAGGUAGCGCCUCGUGAAUUCAUCUCCGGGGGUAGAGCACUGUUUCGGCAAGGGGGUCAUCCCGACUUACCAACCCGAUGCAAACUGCGAAUACCGGAGAAUGUUAUCACGGGAGACACACGGCGGGUGCUAACGUCCGUCGUGAAGAGGGAAACAACCCAGACCGCCAGCUAAGGUCCCAAAGUCAUGGUUAAGUGGGAAACGAUGUGGGAAGGCCCAGACAGCCAGGAUGUUGGCUUAGAAGCAGCCAUCAUUUAAAGAAAGCGUAAUAGCUCACUGGUCGAGUCGGCCUGCGCGGAAGAUGUAACGGGGCUAAACCAUGCACCGAAGCUGCGGCAGCGACGCUUAUGCGUUGUUGGGUAGGGGAGCGUUCUGUAAGCCUGUGAAGGUGUGCUGUGAGGCAUGCUGGAGGUAUCAGAAGUGCGAAUGCUGACAUAAGUAACGAUAAAGCGGGUGAAAAGCCCGCUCGCCGGAAGACCAAGGGUUCCUGUCCAACGUUAAUCGGGGCAGGGUGAGUCGACCCCUAAGGCGAGGCCGAAAGGCGUAGUCGAUGGGAAACAGGUUAAUAUUCCUGUACUUGGUGUUACUGCGAAGGGGGGACGGAGAAGGCUAUGUUGGCCGGGCGACGGUUGUCCCGGUUUAAGCGUGUAGGCUGGUUUUCCAGGCAAAUCCGGAAAAUCAAGGCUGAGGCGUGAUGACGAGGCACUACGGUGCUGAAGCAACAAAUGCCCUGCUUCCAGGAAAAGCCUCUAAGCAUCAGGUAACAUCAAAUCGUACCCCAAACCGACACAGGUGGUCAGGUAGAGAAUACCAAGGCGCUUGAGAGAACUCGGGUGAAGGAACUAGGCAAAAUGGUGCCGUAACUUCGGGAGAAGGCACGCUGAUAUGUAGGUGAAGUCCCUCGCGGAUGGAGCUGAAAUCAGUCGAAGAUACCAGCUGGCUGCAACUGUUUAUUAAAAACACAGCACUGUGCAAACACGAAAGUGGACGUAUACGGUGUGACGCCUGCCCGGUGCCGGAAGGUUAAUUGAUGGGGUUAGCCGCAAGGCGAAGCUCUUGAUCGAAGCCCCGGUAAACGGCGGCCGUAACUAUAACGGUCCUAAGGUAGCGAAAUUCCUUGUCGGGUAAGUUCCGACCUGCACGAAUGGCGUAAUGAUGGCCAGGCUGUCUCCACCCGAGACUCAGUGAAAUUGAACUCGCUGUGAAGAUGCAGUGUACCCGCGGCAAGACGGAAAGACCCCGUGAACCUUUACUAUAGCUUGACACUGAACAUUGAGCCUUGAUGUGUAGGAUAGGUGGGAGGCUUAGAAGUGUGGACGCCAGUCUGCAUGGAGCCGACCUUGAAAUACCACCCUUUAAUGUUUGAUGUUCUAACGUUGACCCGUAAUCCGGGUUGCGGACAGUGUCUGGUGGGUAGUUUGACUGGGGCGGUCUCCUCCUAAAGAGUAACGGAGGAGCACGAAGGUUGGCUAAUCCUGGUCGGACAUCAGGAGGUUAGUGCAAUGGCAUAAGCCAGCUUGACUGCGAGCGUGACGGCGCGAGCAGGUGCGAAAGCAGGUCAUAGUGAUCCGGUGGUUCUGAAUGGAAGGGCCAUCGCUCAACGGAUAAAAGGUACUCCGGGGAUAACAGGCUGAUACCGCCCAAGAGUUCAUAUCGACGGCGGUGUUUGGCACCUCGAUGUCGGCUCAUCACAUCCUGGGGCUGAAGUAGGUCCCAAGGGUAUGGCUGUUCGCCAUUUAAAGUGGUACGCGAGCUGGGUUUAGAACGUCGUGAGACAGUUCGGUCCCUAUCUGCCGUGGGCGCUGGAGAACUGAGGGGGGCUGCUCCUAGUACGAGAGGACCGGAGUGGACGCAUCACUGGUGUUCGGGUUGUCAUGCCAAUGGCACUGCCCGGUAGCUAAAUGCGGAAGAGAUAAGUGCUGAAAGCAUCUAAGCACGAAACUUGCCCCGAGAUGAGUUCUCCCUGACUCCUUGAGAGUCCUGAAGGAACGUUGAAGACGACGACGUUGAUAGGCCGGGUGUGUAAGCGCAGCGAUGCGUUGAGCUAACCGGUACUAAUGAACCGUGAGGCUUAACCU